AAAACUACUGCAACUGACUUAGUAAAGAGGGGGUUUAAGCCGAAACCCUAAAAAGUUAACUGAAAUGGAGUCUUCUCCGGCUGCGGUGAAACGGAAAGAACCGGAGGUGAAUUCCGACGAGAAGGAAGUCCCGGAGCUAAAUUCAUCUUCCAAGAGAGCAAAUUUAACUAGAACCUGCGUGCACGAGGUAGCAGUUCCAUCUAGUUACACUUCAACAAAUGACGAAUCAGUUCACGGAACUCUUUCAAAUCCUUGUUACAAUGGUGAAAUGGCGAAAAUGUACCCAUUCAAGCUCGACCCAUUUCAGGAAGUGUCAGUUGCAUGCUUGGAACGAAAUGAAUCAAUCCUUGUAUCAGCACAUACCUCCGCUGGGAAAACUGCUGUUGCUGAGUACGCGAUUGCAAUGUCGUUUAGGGAUAAACAAAGGGUUAUUUACACUUCGCCUUUGAAAGCUUUGAGUAAUCAGAAGUACAGAGAGUUAAGUCAUGAGUUUUCUGAUGUUGGUUUGAUGACUGGUGAUGUUACGCUUUCACCAAAUGCGAGUUGUUUGGUGAUGACGACGGAGAUUUUAAGGGGUAUGUUGUAUAGGGGUUCUGAGGUGUUAAAGGAAGUUGCUUGGGUUAUAUUUGAUGAGAUACAUUACAUGAAGGAUCGUGAAAGAGGGGUUGUUUGGGAAGAGAGUAUUAUAUUCUUGCCACCAGCUAUCAAGAUGGUUUUUCUUUCAGCAACUAUGUCUAAUGCUACUCAGUUUGCUGAAUGGAUAUGCAAUAUUCAUAAACAGCCAUGUCAUGUGGUCUACACUGAUUUUCGGCCUACCCCGUUGCAGCAUUAUAUGUUUCCAAUGGGCGGUUCUGGAUUGUAUCUUGUUAUUGAUGAAAAUGAGCAGUUUAGGGAGGUCAAUUUUUUGAAGAUGCAGGACAGUUUUGCAAAGAAGAAAGUGGGAGAUGGAAGCAACAAUGCAAAUGCUAGGGUUAGAGGUAGAAUUGCUAAAGGUGGCUCUACUUCUGGGGGUGUCUCAGAUAUCUGCAAAAUUGUCAAGAUGAUCAUGGAACGGAAGUUUCAGCCAGUCAUUGUGUUCAGUUUUAGUAGAAGAGAAUGCGAACAACAUGCAAUGUCUAUGCCCAAACUUGAUUUUAAUACUGAAGAGGAGAAGGAAGUAGUGAAGGAGGUUUUCCAUAAUGCAGUGGAUUGCUUGAGCGAGGAAGAUAGAAACUUACCAGCUAUUGAAUUGAUGUUGCCCCUACUUCAGCGUGGGAUUGCUGUUCACCACUCUGGCCUGCUUCCUGUUAUAAAGGAACUUGUGGAACUUCUCUUCCAAGAAGGACUCAUCAAGGCUCUUUUUGCAACAGAGACUUUCGCCAUGGGGCUAAACAUGCCUGCAAAAACUGUUGUCUUUACAAAUGUCCGUAAAUUUGAUGGAGAC
rnacentral:misc_RNA from 1 species